rnacentral:tRNA from 1 species
CCGGAUAGCUCAGUCGGUAGAGCAGAGGAUUGAAAAUCCUCGUGUCGGUGGUUCGA